rnacentral:rRNA from 1 species
GACGAACGCUGGCGGCGUGCCUAAUACAUGCAAGUUGAGCGAUGAAGAUUGGUGCUUGCACCAAUUUGAAGAGCAGCGAACGGGUGAGUAACGCGUGGGGAAUCUGCCUUUGAGCGGGGGACAACAUUUGGAAACGAAUGCUAAUACCGCAUAACAACUUUAAACAUAAGUUUUAAGUUUGAAAGAUGCAAUUGCAUCACUCAAAGAUGAUCCCGCGUUGUAUUAGCUAGUUGGCGAGGUAAAGGCUCACCAAGGCGAUGAUACAUAGCCGACCUGAGAGGGUGAUCGGCCACAUUGGGACUGAGACACGGCCCAAACUCCUACGGGAGGCAGCAGUAGGGAAUCUUCGGCAAUGGACGAAAGUCUGACCGAGCAACGCCGCGUGAGUGAAGAAGGUUUUCGGAUCGUAAAACUCUGUUGGUAGAGAAGAACGUUGGUGAGAGUGGAAAGCUCAUCAAGUGACGGUAACUACCCAGAAAGGGACGGCUAACUACGUG